ACUCCUACGGGAGGCAGCAGUGGGGAAUAUUGCACAAUGGGCGCAAGCCUGAUGCAGCAACGCCGCGUGAGCGAUGAAGGCCUUCGGGUCGUAAAGCUCUGUCCUCAAGGAAGAAUAAAUGACGGUACUUGAGGAGGAAGCCCGGCUAACUACGUGCCAGCAGCCGCGGUAAUACGUAGGGGGCAAGCGUUAUCCGGAAUCACUGGGGCGUAAAGGGUGCGUAGGCGGUUUUCAAGUCAGAAGUGAAAGGCUAUGGCUCAACCAUAGUAAGCUUUUGAAACUGUUAAACUUGAGUGCAGGAGAGGAAAGUGGAAUUCCUAGUGUAGAGGUGAAAUUCGUAGAUAUUAGGAGGAACACCAGUGGCGAAGGCGACUUUCUGGACUGUAACUGACGCUGAGGCACGAAAGCGUGGGGAGCGAACAGGAUUAGAUACCCUGGUAGCAGAGAG
rnacentral:rRNA from 1 species